GAUGAAGAACGCAGCGAAAUGCGAUAAUUAAUGUGAAUUGCAGAAUUCCGUGAAUCAUCGAGUCUUUGAACGCACAUUGCGCCUCAUGACAUUCCGUGAGGCAGGCCCAUCUCAGCGUUAGAAAAUAUUCUCAAAUUUUAGUUUUGUGCUAAAAUUUGGAUCAUGUCAAAGAAGCUAUUACUAUUAUUGUGAUCGCUCUUUGGAAAUUGAUAGAUCUUUGAGUUGCUACUCAUAGAACGUGAUGAAUCUUUCUUCGUUCUAUUGUAAUUCACUCUGGUAGUCCUAAAACUUGUAUGCCUGUGGCAUAUCUUGUAAUUUGACCUGAGAUUGGGUAGGGAUACCCGCUGAACUUAAGCAUAUCAAUAAGCGGAGGA
rnacentral:misc_RNA from 1 species